rnacentral:rRNA from 1 species
CCGGCGACCGGCGCACGGGUGAGUAACACGUAUGGAACCUGCCCGCAGCAGGGGGAUAAGCGGAAGAAAUUCCGUCUAAUACCGCGUAACAACGUUGGGAGACAUCUCCCGAUGUUUAAAGAUUUAUCGGCUGCGGAUGGCCAUGCGGCGCAUUAGCUAGUCGGCGGGGUAACGGCCCACCGAGGCGACGAUGCGUAGGGGUUCUGAGAGGAAGGUCCCCCACACUGGUACUGAGACACGGACCAGACUCCUACGGGAGGCAGCAG